GGUGAGAUGGCCCAGCGGUCUCAUGCGCCGGACUAGGGCGCCACAGUAGUAUAUUUGGCAUCUUGGGGGCGGGAGUUCGAAUCUCCCACCCCAUCA